rnacentral:rRNA from 1 species
GUGGCGAGUGGCGCACGGGUGCGUAACGCGUAUGCAACCUACCUUUAACUGAGGGAUAGCCCUGAGAAAUUGGGAUUAAUACCUCAUAAUAUAUUAAGAAGGCAUCUUCAAGAUAUUAAAGUUCCGGCGGUUAAAGAUGGGCAUGCGUGACAUUAGCUAGUUGGUGAGGUAACGGCUCACCAAGGCGACGAUGUCUAGGGGUCCUGAGAGGGUUAACCCCCACACUGGUACUGAGACACGGACCAGACUCC